rnacentral:rRNA from 1 species
CAGUAGCCGCGGUAAUACAGAGGGUGCAAGCGUUAAUCGGAAUUACUGGGCGUAAAGCGCGCGUAGGUGGUUUGUUAAGUUGGAUGUGAAAUCCCCGGGCUCAACCUGGGAACUGCAUCCAAAACUGGCAGGCUAGAGUAGGGCAGAGGGUGGUGGAAUUUCUUGUGUAGCGGUGAAAUGCGUAGAUAUAGGAAGGAACACCAGUGGCGAAGGCGACCACCUGGGCUCAUACUGACACUGAGGUGCGAAAGCGUGGGGAGCAAACAGGAUUAGAUACCCGCGUAGUCCCUGUCUCUUAUAC